UACGUAGGGUCCGAGCGUUGUCCGGAAUUAUUGGGCGUAAAGGGCUCGUAGGCGGUUUGUCGCGUCGGGAGUGAAAACACGGGGCUUAACCCCGUGCCUGCUUCCGAUACGGGCAGACUAGAGGUAUGCAGGGGAGAACGGAAUUCCUGGUGUAGCGGUGAAAUGCGCAGAUAGUCGGGGGGAACACCAGUGGCGAAGGCGGUUCUCUGGGCCUUACCUGACGCUGAGACGCGAAAGCGUGGGGGAGCGAACCGG
rnacentral:rRNA from 1 species